rnacentral:rRNA from 1 species
UACGUAGGUGGCAAGCGUUGUCCGGAUUUACUGGGCGUAAAGCGCCCGCAGGCGGCCCGGCAAGUUUCAGGUGAAAUCUCCCGGCUUAACUGGGAGGGUGCCUGGAAAACUGCCGGGCUUGAGGCAGGGAGAGGGAUGUGGAAUUCCCGGUGUAGUGGUGAAAUGCGUAGAUAUCGGGAGGAACACCAGUGGCGAAGGCGACAUCCUGGACCUGUCCUGACGCUCAGGGGCGAAAGCGUGGGGAGCAAACCGG